AUUGAACGCUGGCGGCAGGCCUAACACAUGCAAGUCGAGCGGAGCGGCCGACGGGUGGGUAAUGCCUAGGAAUCUGCCUGGCAGUGGGGGAUAACUUCCUGAAACGGGCGCUAAUACCGCAUACUAUCAGAUGAGCCUAGGUGGGAUUAGCUAGUUGGUGGGGUAAGGGCCUACCAAGGCGACGAUCCGUAACUGGUCUGAGAGGAUGAUCAGUCACACUGGAACUGAGACACGGUCCAGACUCCUACGGGAGGCAGCAGUGGGGAAUAUUGGACAAUGGGCGCAAGCCUGAUGCAGCCAUGCCGCGUGUAUGAAGAAGGCCUUCGGGUUGUAAAGUACUUUAAGUUGGGAGGUGUUACCCGCAGAAGAAGCACCGGCUAACUCCGUGCCAGCCGCCGCGGUAAUAC
rnacentral:rRNA from 1 species